UCUGCUCACGCACAGAAACACAUGCUCUCAGCCGACACAUUAACGCAGUCAUGGUAUCCGACUGAAAAAAAGAAAGACCGGCAGAUAUCCCAGCAGCCCUUGCGCCGCACACCUCCACAUACCGCGGAGUUGAUGUGUGUCAAGGUGUAACCCGACUCCUUUGUGAAGAGGAAACAGACACAACAACAAACCAGCCUGCAGUUUUAAAAUAUUUCUUUUUUUGGUGAGCUGUGCAGGUACCCAGGCCGAGGGCUUCGGACGGGGUGCAGCUGCUGCGGGCCAAGCACAGCAGAGCUGCUACAGCUGGCCAGGCGUACAGCAUGCAUCUGGGUUGCCAGCCCCCCCCCCCCUCCAACCCCCCCUUCUCAGAGGAGCCCUGAGGCCCAGCCAUGUGCCACCACUGUGUUAAGAACAAGCACCUUGAUAAGGAGUCCUUCUAUUAAUUUGAGGCAGUUGACCUUCGUCUUGCUCUACUUCCUUAUUCUGAGAAAACACCAUCGCUGACAUGUGAAUCUAAGUUGUGUCCUGAUUGUCAUUGCCAUUAAAGCCACAUUUAUGGAGAAGGGACACGACUAGUUUGACCACAUCUUUGCUACUCUCUGUGUGCUCAAAGAUGAUGUAAACGUUAUGUCAACCUGUGACUCAUUACCCAGUGCACACAGACACUAGCACUCACAGUUAUGCCAAAUGGGCGACGCCAAACCAUCCGCUGAGUUUUCGCAGUUUUUUUUACAGCAGCCGUUUUUAUGGAAAACGGGGAAAGUACAAAAGCAUUUAUCAGGAGACCUAAUUUCUCAAGAUAAAUUCUGCUGGCUUUAGGAUUGAUAGUAAACCAAAAAAAAGGUACCCAUUUUAAUAAAUUAGUUAAAAAUGUACCAGUAACUAGUCACCUACAAAGCUGGAGAAAGAUUCUGGCUGUAGGUAGCAACCAUUAAUAAACAACACAAGGACAAUUAACUUGGGGUGGCCAAGCAAACAGUUUCCUGAGAUUCACCGGCUAAUGAACUUGACUGGUUCCAGAGUGUUUGAUGUUAAUUUUGAGUCCCUAAUCCCAAUAUAUUCUACAAUAUUAUCGUAAACAACCUGUUAAUAUUUUACAGAGAUAGAGAAUUGCAUUUCGAGCAUAUGAAACAGUGAUGAACAAAGUUUAAAUUAUAGAAUGAUGCCAAUAACUGGACCACUGUGUCAUUAUUUAUAUUUUUGGCCACAGCAUGCUGGCAAAAUGCGACGACGCUCGUCGUGUGAAUUUUGUAGCUAAGCCAAUGGCAGUUGACUGGCAACACUCCCUGACUGCUCUAAAGUUAGCUGCGCGUGCUCUAAAUCAGCGGGCGAAGAAGAGAACGAAUUAGAUCAAUUAGAUAGCUGGUGUGAGCAGCCUUAACGGUUAGGUUAUUAAUUAAACUUAAUUUAAUGGAACCCUAUUUUAAGAGAGAAGUGCGUAUUUAUACGACCGCACCCAUUUGCUGCUGAGUUUACAUAACGGACAUUAGUAACUGAGAGAAGAACUAGGUCAUUUCUUUUUUUAUUGUUCCUCUCCAUUGUGUUGGGCACGGCGGUUUAUCCUAAUCCUAACUAUGUCUGUCAUUCCAGAGUGCCCGUUUCCCCACCGCACGUGUGCUAUAUAUAUAUAUGAAUCGCAUUAUGAAAAUACACAUUUUCGCAUGUGACUGUUUAAUGCCCCCCGAGCUGCGCAGCUCUCACUGAAUAUUACACGAACAGAGGGCCGUAGCUGCAACCAUAUAAGUUUCUUCUCUAAAUCCCUCCUGUCCUAUAUUCCGUCCUGAAGCCAUUCUGGAGGCUAGUGAAAGACAGCCUGCGCUUUAUACGAACGUUUGAAGGUGCUCGCGCGCGUUCCGGCCGGGGGGAAUCCAUAAUUAAUGCGGCGCGAGGCGCAUUAGACAUCAAAGACGUUUGUCGACACCGUGCAAUAAACUUAAAGCGGGCGAGACUGGGAUCUGGCGUGGGGCGAUUGAGGGGAGGUGAGGGAGAGAGCCCCAGGUCCGUCACCCCGAGACCGCGAGCGCAAAGUUACAGCUGGGCCGGGCUACAACAGCUCGUGUCUCAUUACGCUACAGUAAAAACAGUUCACAGUGUAAGGGGAUCAAAGGGGAUCAGAGCAGCAGAUCUGAACGAAGAUAAUCUCGGCGCGAAGCCGCUCAUGAACAGGGCUGUAAAGCAAACUCGAGAUGGCUGAUAACCAUCUAAUCUGUUUUCUGAUUUAUGUUUUUUUUUUGUUUUUUUGUCGCUAGUCUGAAUAACCUUCCCGCAGCGCGAAGUGCACGCGAAUGACGUGCGCAAGCACGCGGAUUCGGCCGUCUCCACCUAUGCUUUUUUGGAAAUCAAACCGUCAGCUCCUCGCGUGCUUUAAAGGGAGAAAAUGAACGCGCCGAGUUUAAUGUGUACUGCAUAUCAACGAGCUGAGGGAGUUAGGCUCACUUUUCUGUG